GGAACUUCGUUUUAGAACUUCACCCCCGAACCCUAGUUCUUCUUCUUUUCUUCUCUUUGUUCCCAUCUUCAGCUGCUGGGCACCCCUCUCUUCGUAGCACAACCACUCUCUUUUGUUCUUCGUGUUCAGCCGUUGAGCCACCCCUUUCUUCAUAGCACUCCACUAUCUCAGACGGACUCCUUUCUUCACAAGUAGCCCUUGCUAGGGUUUACUCAGCUUUCUUGACCUCUGAUCCUUGCUAUUGAUAUUGAGUGACAUGCACGGCGAUGGAGAGUGAGAUAGAGGCCUAGUGCGGUUUGGAGCAUCGCCGCGUGUGUUUAAGAUACAACACCGGCUGUGUAAGGAAGACACAACGUCGAUUGUGUAAGGAAGAUGCAGCGCCGACUAUGUAAGGAGGACGCAGCGUCGGUUGUGUAAGGGAGACGCAGCGCCGACUGUGUAAGGGAGACGCAGUGCCGGCUUUGUAAGGAAGACCCAGCGCCGACUAUGUAAGGAAGAGCGCCGGCUACGUAAGGGAGACGCAGUGCCGGCUGUGUAAGGAAGACGCAGUGCCGGCUGUGUAAGGAAGACAUAGCGCCAGCUGUGUAAAGAAACUCAGCGCCAUCUAUGAAAUGAGAGCAAGAAAGAGCAGCAUCGUACGUCUCAGCGCCGCUUCGUACACAUCAGCGCCGAGUGUGACUGUGUCAACCACAGUGCUUUCUAACCACCCUCUCAUUUUUAAGCCUUUUUCCUCCCUUGGGCAGCACGGUCUCCCCCAUUUCCCAACUCUCUCUCUCUCUCUCUCUUGAAGCUCACUGCUGCCCCUCGAAAGACAUCCAACUGGUGGAGCUAAGGAAGCCCGUGAGUGAGGAUCGAAGACACCAUGGGAGUCAAGACUGAGAGCAGCAGGUCCAGAGUCAGGAACUCAGGUUGCAGUUGGGGAUUCUGCGCAGCUAUUUGGAGAAGGAGUUAGUGCCUGUAUGUAGUUGGGCUCUUAGCCCUAUUUGUAAUUGUUUCAUGUAAACUCUGAA